GCCCAGGUGGCGAAAUGGUAGACGCACUAGGUUCAGGUCCUAGAGGUGUUUAUAACACUGUGGAGGUUCGAGUCCUCUCCUGGGCA
rnacentral:tRNA from 1 species